GAACAAUCAGGAACACCCACUUAACUUAAAGGGACACUCCAGAUCUAUAAAGCUCAUUGUUUAGUGAAAUAAUCCCGCUUGUAUCUUAAAUGUAAAUGCCCCUUAACAGUCCUGAUAUAGGCAGGACAGUCACGAUUUGUUUAAUUUUUUGGGUUAAUUCCCACCUCUUGACUUAGGGAACUCACCACAAAAAGCUUAGCGCGAGUGCAUCAUUAGACACCCUUGCGCUACAUGAAGGGCACUACAGUGCUCACUGCAAGUUCUGCCCUCAGUGGCCUGGCCUGUUUUAUAAUCAGGAUGCCUCUCUCC